rnacentral:rRNA from 1 species
GACGAACGCUGGCGGCGUGCCUAACACAUGCAAGUCGAGCGGGGAUUUAAGUGGAAGUUCUUCGGAAUGGAGAUUUAAAUUCUAGCGGCGGACGGGUGAGUAACGCGUGAACAAUCUGUCCCGGACAGGGGGAUAACACCUGGAAACAGGUGCUAAUACCGCAUAAGACCACGGCCUCGCAUGGGGCUGAGGUAAAAGGAGCAAUCCGGUUCGGGGUGAGUUCGCGUCCGAUUAGCUAGUUGGUGAGGUAACGGCCCACCAAGGCGACGAUCGGUAGCCGGCCUGAGAGGGUGAACGGCCACAUUGGAACUGAGAGACGGUCCAAACUCCUACGGGAGGCGGCAGUGGGGAAUAUUGGGCAAUGGGCGAAAGCCUGACCCAGCAACGCCGCGUGAGGGAAGAAGGUUUUCGGAUUGUAAACCUCUGUCCUAUGGGACGAAGGAAGUGACGGUACCAUAGGAGGAAGCCCCGGCUAACUACGUG